rnacentral:rRNA from 1 species
UACGUAGGGUGCAAGCGUUAAUCGGAAUUACUGGGCGUAAAGCAUGCGCAGGCGGUCUAUAAGACAGAUGUGAAAUCCCCCGGGCUCAACCUGGGAACUGCAUUUGUGACUGUAGAGCUGGAGUACGGUAGAGGGGGAUGGAAUUCCGCGUGUAGCAGUGAAAUGCGUAGAUAUGCGGAGGAACACCGAUGGCGAAGGCAAUCCCCUGGACCUGUACUGACGCUCAUGCACGAAAGCGUGGGGAGCAAACAGG